CCUCGGGUAACAUGCCGGAUCAGUUACCCCUAUCUGUUCUGAGACCUCUCAAAUCACAAAUUAAGCACUGCUUAAACUGUAUAGAAGUUGAGAUGGACCUUAUGUUUGCAAAAAAGUGGAGGAGUCUUAACCUGCAAUAAGGUGGGUCCUGCUACGCUGGAUGUAGAUCAGGUGUUCUUGUAGCUCAGCAGUGGGAAAGAACCUCAAGCGGGAAUUUGGUAACACUUUAUAAUAACUACACACUAUAAAUCAUUUAUUAAGCA